CGUUCCAAUUUCGACAAACGUACUUUUUUUUCACGCUAAUAAUCUGCGCGACUAAUCUUACCAUACCACGUCGUCUCUCGCAUCGGUAGCGUCAUCAACUGUAGUUUCGCUUUAGCUUUUCCGACGGGACGUCGUCGCCGAUCGCCUCAGCUGUUUGUGUGCGAUGCUUUCGGUUGUGUUGGCGCAUAUCUGAUCGACGAUGGCGCAACCGAUGGUGUGAUUUGCCGUGUUGUGCGUUUCGUGCGCGCUGACUCGAAGUGCUACGCCGGGGAGCGGCCCGCCGGUGUGCGACGACGACGACGCGAGCUCCGAAGGUGUUGCCCGCCGGAAUUACUCGAAGGACGCGUAGAACGCUAUAUGCGUGCGUCCCCUCGAGUCGAAGGUCUCGCCAGCCGAUAGCCGCUACGCUGCGUGUAUUCGCAGCCCUGGCCUCGUCGUUGGUGGUGAUCCUGUAAACAAACGGGAAUGUUUUGGAAUCCCGCAGAUUAUUUUUCGGCGACGAGCGUCCCACUCGAAGAGAUCCAUGGGCAAUUUAUAAGCGACGGUGGUUUCUGCUUUAUAUCGGGUCUAGAUGUGACGUGCGAGAGCUAGGACGCGCACUCUGCUCGUUACAUAACUGCUUUGACAGCGUUACUCCCAGCUGAGGAGGUUUGGGGCAAUGUGCGGAGAGCGGGUUGAUGUUUGUCCGUAGUUCUAGGUCACUUGUCGUGAUGUGACCGAUCAUCUGUGCUACGAUUUUCUUGCUUUCGUAAGCUUGCCCAUGAUGAACUGGACUCCCAUGCUCGUAUUUACAACACUAAGUUUCGCUUGUUUGUCGGCAACUUUGUCAUGCGUGACCUGCGUAUUGCUACCCUUAAAACAGUUACGAAAGAAGUGUGACGAGAAUGAAUUUCAGGUAACGCGCUCUUAUUCCAGUGCGUGGCUGUUCUGAAGGCAUGCAAACUUGAGUACGUUAACGCACGGACUUACGCCCAUACUUAGUGCGAAUCGUGCACAAGUAAUUAAAAGAGUUUGCAAACAUUAUAUAUAUAUAUAUAUAUAAUGUUUAAUACCAACUAUUAAAUUAGACAUGCCAGUUUCAAACUAAUGCAUGUUAUCUUUUAUAUAAAACAUUUUAUAUUAGCCACCUUUCUUGUAUAAAUUCGAUGUAUCUGUUUACUGCUGUGUACAAUGUUAAGCUGUCUGUUGCGAAGGCUAUGAGCUGCGAUGUUCCAACUAAUAAACACAAGCACAUACAGAUACAUGUACACAAGGAAAUUCAUAACAUGUUUUAGUUCAAAUUAUGCUACUUUAUCAUUAACUAGUUAAAAUUUCACUGUGCCACCCCUCAUGAAUUUAUAUGCUCGUUUACACCUUGGAAGAAUUACCAUGCCAGCUUGCUUAAUGUAGAGCUAUAGUGUGCAAAGGUUCUAGUAUGGUAGCUGUUGACUCCCGAAACAGACACCUGAGAUUUGGCCUGCCUUCUUAAAGCACACAGAAAACAAUUCUAUUUUAACAGCCGCAAUAUUGCAAAUGAAAGGAAAGUGGCCACUACAACAUGGCGCUCUUGCUGGUGCUGAUCGAAAAGGCCGUCGACCAUUCUGAAGAGCCAGGAAAUGUAAUUUUGCUUGUGUUGUAAAACAGAGUACAACCUCACUUAUAGUACCUGAAGCAACAUUAUCUUGUGAGAAGUUCUGGAGUUACUGCACUGAACACUUGCAAAUGUAAUUCAGUACUUCUGCAUUGCUCUAAAAGUGUUCUUUCUGGUUGAUGGGUGAAAAGGACCACUUGGUGUUUGGUUAAAACCAAAAAGACUACUAGCAACACCUAUCGCACGUGGCACAGACUGUGCAGGGUGCAUGUUUUAGUGCUCAACCGCAGCCUCUGAAGUGAAAGUUUUUGGGUCCUGGUCAAUGAAUUUUGCGAAAAAAUUAAAACUGAAUGUACAUUUCCUUGUUGGAGAAAUGUACAUACCAGUACGAGGUUCCUUCAGACAGGUGGUGAGGUUUGCGCUUGCUAUCAAAAACAUUUCCAUGUGGCCUUAACACUUUUAUUUCAAAAAAUUUUACCUUCAUAACAUUUGUGCAGGUUCUCUGAGGUCCAACUCCUGCUGAAAUACUUUAUUUCAUCAUAGCCAUCAACAUAUCAGCUUCUGUACACGUGUAUUUUUUUUUUCUUUUUGAAGAAGUUGUGACGUAUUGACGCGUGCUCUAUGUAGACAUUUAGACGACGACGAUGAUGAUAUGUGCUUUAACGUACUCCGUGUAGUUGGACAGGGGGAAUUCGAAGACAAAGAAGACGUCUUUUGUUCUGGUGGUUUUUCAACAGGCUGUUCCGCCAUCUUGUUCCCCUGUUGUUGUCUCUUGCUCGCGUUGAACCACGACAAUAUUUUAAAAGUUGAAGUAACUCAGCCACCCGCUUCUCACACCUAAAAUGCAAGCCAGUAUGAAGACUGGGAAACACUUAUGAGAUAUUGUAAUUUCAUACUGAAGUUCUCUUGAAAUGCUGCACCUCGCGUCAUCAACUUGAUCACGACGUCCUGCCGCGGAGCAAAAUUUGCUGACUUCGCGAGUAGCAGGAAGGCCUGGUGUGAUGAUGUUAUUCAUGAAAAAAAAAUAAGCAGAGCACUGCGUGCUUUUUUCUGUCUGUGCUUCUGCACAGCAGCCACAGCCACUACAGGAAAUGGACAAGCUACAUGCAGUGCAUCGUGACGUCAUGAUGCAGCCUCCUUUCUCGAUAUACCGAAACUGAUACUAGUUUGUGAAGACAAGUGUUAUAAUAAGUUUAUUGUUGUUCUCUGGCACUUGCCAGUGUAUUAGCCCAUGCAUUAACAGCAUAUUUUAUGACAUGCGGUAUUGUCGUUGGCCGCCAUGCGGUCUUUGCCACUCACUGCAGAAGAUGAGGGUCGACAAAGACGAGGACAUGCUGUCAGUGAAAGCUUGAAACUCUGUGAUUCCUCUAGAUUAAUUUUAGUAUCUGUUGCCGUAGUAUAAUGUGACAAUAUCUUUCAAGCUUUAAAGGGUUUGGGCCCUCAUAUAAUGCAAAAUAAAUAAUAAGAAGCCAAAAAUGUUAUAUAUCAGUUUAAUAUUGCAAGUUAUUGUGGCUUAUCUGUAAAUAUGAUUUAACUUUCUCUACCAUAUAGCUUUUUUUUUCCUUUUUUUUUCAUAAUGUUGUUCAAAUUUCCUUGAAUAGUGUCAUUUUUUUACUUCUAGAAAUCAGGCACUUGACACAACAUUACAUGAAAUGUAGGCAAUGAAGGUAGCAUUUUUUUCUGAUUAUAGGAUUUCUAAUUAAACAUAGCAGUUCAAUCAUGAUAAAUGCAUUUUUGCCUACAGAUCUAUCAUGUCCCAGCCCUCUGCUCACAUAAAGUGUGUGUAUCCACACUCUUGUAUGUCAUUGGCGGUUGCCUUUGAUUUGUCAUAUCAUCAUGCCACGUUGUUGGUUGCCUUUGGUUUACAGUUUAGGAAGUUGUAAACACUGUUAAUAACUAGUCAAUCAUGAAGACUUCAUAACAUUCUGAUGUGACCCCAAUUGUGUGCACAGAAUUCCAAGCAAGGGAAUGCAAUCAAUGUUCUUACCCUUUCCUACUCCACUUAUGUUAUUGUUAAUGCCAAUUCGUAUAUAUAAUAUACAGUUCUGGAAGUUGCUUGACAGAGUGUGCAGGUGAAUUAAAUCUUUAUAAUAACACUUGUGCACCCCAGGUAGUUUCGCGUUGCAGAGUGAUCCAUAAAUUAAGUGUUUCAAAAUGUUAGCUUCAUUCAAAAGAAGCUCAAUAAUAGGCUAGCUGCCACACUAGAUCAGUUAUAUGUUUCAGUGUAUCAUGUCUAAAGCAAGAAAACAAAAUGUUGGCUUCCAUCUGUUAUUUUUUUUUUGUAAUAUAUAUAUAUAUAUAUAUAUCUCUCUUUGCAGCAUGAUAAUGCUGGAGGCAUUGAUUCUCGCAAUACUCAGUUAUUCAUUGUGUCGACAAAGUGGUUGAUUGCACAAUAGCAAAUAAUUUUCGUGAUCCUCCCAUGAAACGCCGCUUCUGGUGCCAUUAUAAACAUUCUUCUUUAACUGAUUCUCUCUUGUCACUCUUGGCAACAAUUCGCCAAAAAUUGGCAUACUUGUUUUUUCAACAUGCCUAAUGUGUUUUCUUCUUUAUUACAGGUCUGUAAGAUUCAGGAACACGAUUGUGAAGAUCAUCAUUACGAAGCACAUAGUUGUUAUCAUGUCAUUAGAGAACCAGAUGAAUGAUGGGAAAUGAUACCGCACACGUUACAAGCCUAAAAAAAAUGAACUUUAAUUGAAAAGUUUGCUGAAGAGAAAUAUAUAGACUUUCUUCAAGUUAGCCUUUCUUUUUAGUUCAUCUGCUAGAAAGUUUUAUACCAGUCAAAAAACAAAGCAAAUGAAAACAUGUCUCUUUUAACCUUAUGAUCACAGUGUCAGUUUCUCAUUUCAUGAACUCAUUACAAAAAUUGCAAUGUAAAUGUUCUGUACACAAAAUCAUGCUUGGUGAUACGAGAUGUAGCUGCAGCUCUGGUGACCUUGACUUUGUUAUGUUGGCUAUGUCAAAUGUGCCUGUAGUUAAUUAUGAAAGUAGCAUUUAGUGCAAUACUGCAUACUACAUCAUUUUUUUGGCUGCUUGGCUCUUGCCGUAGUUGGAAGAAUUAAGGAACUCAUAAUCAAGAUAGUUGACAGAAAGUUGGAUAUCUAGAUGAUGAACUGAAAAAGAGAGGUGGUAAAAUUCGUUUUGACACAUCAUUUCCCAUGCGUGUGGUACGGUCUCUGUCAAAAGCACCAGGGACAUCCAACGCCAGACUGGCAAAGUUGAAGAAAAUCGCUGUAAAGCAAAGCAUACAUAAAUGGGAAAGAAGCAGCUAAAUGAAGAGAAAUAAGAUUGGUUGUUUCUGUCUGCAUUGAUCGACUGCUGUGUGAUGUUAGUUAUUUUAUUGAAAUUUAUUUUAUUGUGUCUUGUACCUUGUGUAAAGCCUUUCUUAGAAUGAUGUGUUGAGGCUUUUUGUACCGUUUAGGUGUACAGGACUACAGAUGCUGUAAUUGUACGCGCUGUUUCAAAUUCAAGAAGCGUUUACUUGAACAAGAAGUCAUUGCUCUUCACCGCAGUUGGCCUGCUGAUGUAGCAACGUUUGGAAGAUGCAAGGGGCUGAAAUAAGAAAUGGAUGCCUGGAGUAUCAGGAAAAGAUGGAGAUUGCAACGACUUCAUCUGGAGAACACCUGUCGCAUUUAGACUACCCAGUGUUUGUUGUAGAGUGCAAAAGUUUCUCUGGCGAACUGUGAUGUGGAGCCUCGUGCUAAUGAUAAUUUAGUGUUUCUGUCAAAGACCCUCGCCCUUCUGGAAGGCGCUGUUUUACAUGUUCUUGGGUCAAUUGGAGUAAGUGAACACGGGGUGAUCUUUGGCAUCUCUAGAAAGCGCCAGGUGAGAUGGAUGUGAAGUUCUACAGCCACACACUUAACAAAGUGUGGGCAUCUAACCUAUGCUUUUUUUAGUUCAGUUCGUUGCUGACUACCUUCCCUCUUGGCACCAUUUAGUGCAGCAUAACCAACUUAUUCAACUUUUUCCACUGUGACAUAAUCAAAAUCAUAUGCGUUGAAAGUAGUUGCUGACAAGCAUCUUUGCAGGGGAAGUGUUUGCCUGUGGCUCACAAUGUCAUUGUCAGAGUUGCUGGCCGACAUUGCAGCGUAGGUUUGAGAGGGAAGCCAGGUUUGGCCACAUGGUUCCAGAAAGCGGCAGCAAUGUCGCCAAUGAGGAAACAAUAGCUAGGUGACUCCAGUGGUAAAACAAAAUGAGAUCACCACAGAAAGAGGUGGGCAGGCAAUAUCGAGGAAGAUCUGAACACCAAAAAAACACCAGCAAGCAUUGGUGACUGACAAUUAGGCAAAGUGGAAAAAAAAAGAACAGUGACCGCAUAUGAAAUUUGACGUAUCCAACAGACAAAGUUUUUUUUGCUGGUAAGAGGUACAAAUUUGACAGUAUCUCUCAUUGUAAUUUCCCCCAUCUGACAUAUAGUUAACAUGUCAAUAUAUAGCACUGACAGCCUACUAGUGCUGGUAGCCUAGCACUGGGUAGCUUCGCACUGGUAGCCCAUUUGCCAGUUUACUCCAAGACAUGGUGAAUGUGUUUGCAGAGUCGCAUAUUUACUGUACUCGCUUCACAGCAGCUGGUCUGUUGAGGGAGAACCGUAGAAAAGCUCAUGUCCUAACUGUGCAGUUAGUGAAGUUACAAGUGAUAACAUAAACUGUAGUCUCUCUUCCGCUGUUCUUGUUCACUGUUACGUUUGGAACUGAAUCACUGGUCGUUUGGUUGAACAUUUCUGCCAACUUAUAUGGCUCGUGUGAGAACUGUCAAGCAUUGCCUAGCCCAGAUAUAUGUUGUGAUUAUCCUUUUGACAGUUACUCCCACAUUCUAAAGAGUUUCUCUUCUUGACGGUGCCUCAAUUCAAUAAAGCGGAUAUGGCAUGCCACCCCUUGAGUGGAGUGGCCGCUGUGCUUUGAUGAGACUCCAUAAUGAUUGCUGAGUGAAAAUUUCACAGCUUGGCUUUCAAGGUCUGCUCGAAUGCACUUGUGAAUGCAUUUGUGAAUACUCAUCACUUGGCCACAUGUCACUUUGUUCCUUUAGCAAUGUGUUCAUUGCUUCAAUUUCUACUAGCCUCCGAUCCUUAGUUUUUCAUAAGUAUUUUAAUUCUAAGGCCUCCAUUUAUUAGAGGUCGCCUCGGUGAUGCCUGUAAGCAUGUAAUAUCGAGCGGGCUCAACCAAAGGCCGAUCUACUCUGCCGACCAACUGCCAAUUUCUUGUUCAAACGACAGACAGCCCUGCAAAGCCAGCGUCCACUGCAGACCUGAUCAAGCGGGAGGGGAUCAGCUGCUCACUGUGUGGCACGGACCUGGUGACGGAAGACCAGUUGCGAGCACACCGUUGCAGUGAGAGGCCACUGCCUCGCGGACGGGGCCGCUAUGCGUGCCGCUACUGCCGCUUCGCCUGCAAUGACCGGCUCGAACACAGCCUGCACCAGACGCAGCACCUCAAGGACAGACCGUUCAGCUGUGGUGUGUGCGGCAAGGCAUUUGCACGCAACAGUGACCGCAACCGGCAUGUCAAGAUCCACACGGGGGUCCGGCCCUUCCAGUGCGACGUGUGCUCGCGCAAGUUCCGGCAGUCGUGGCACCUCCAGUAUCACCGCAGCACCCACACAGACUUCUGAUGCCAGCGACACAGGUUUCCGAUGUGAUGAGUGAUGGCAUUUUGGCCAACAGAGAUCUGAGCUUCGCUGUGGGAUGUGACUGCAACAGCCAAGCCCGCACAUCGUUCAGUGGCAUCCGGCGACACAGCUGCAGCAACCAGUGACCACCUCUCGUGCCUGCCUCCUGCAAGUCUUCGUCGCUUCUUUAGAUCUCGCUUGCGACACUUACUUUGUGUGAGCCACUGAAACACCCAUCGUAUGCAUUGCGGCUGACGAAUGUGCACUUGCCGACUGGGUGCAUGACAGAUGCGCGUCUCAUGAUACAGGGUCUUGCGUUUUGUACGUACGGCCAAGAUGAAAUGUGGCCUUUUUGUUGAAUGUUCCUCGCUUCUUUCUGUAUGAAAUGCGUGAGUAACAUCAGUAUAUGUAUUAGCAGUACUAAUUGAAUAUUGCCACAAAUUUUAUAAAAUACCUAGUGGUGGGCUAUACAUAAAUAGAAUCAGCUUAAGUUGCUACCUGUAGUCUUUUCUAAGGUUGUCAAUUUUUUAAAACAUUUUGUAUAGGAGUAAUUAAGCAACAUUUAAAUUAUUCACCAACGCACCAGUUACUAAGUCGUAGGGGACAAGGAGAAACUGACUGGAAAGAUAACUUUGGGCAGUUAUUUUCUUCACACCACGAAAUCCCAGAAAUGCCACCUAACAGUGGGUCACUUGAAUCCAAGGAAUUGGGCAAAUCCUAUUUCCUCAAUAAAAUAACUUAAACCAGGCUUUAUUUGCCAUUCCCUACAAAUUUUAUAUUGGCACCAUGGUCGUCGGGUGACUAGUUAAUAAGAUGGCUAAUUAAUUUUAGCUAAACAACUUAUCAGGCCUAAUAAGAAAAUCCUCAACGCUAGAAGAACCCACUGGUAGCAGCAUACGACUGAUUCCACUCGUGUAGCAUGUAGAGCCUUCCGUUAUAAUUAAAGAGCUUUGCGACAUUUUAUUGGCACAACCGCUACACAGUCCCUACUGCUACUGCAGGGAUGCAUGGCUUUGUGAUGUAGCCUUCGACUCUGGUCGCAUGACAAGAGCACGCUGGACUUGAACAGAAUUCAUCCACUGUUUCAUCUGAGCCACCUGAAUUGCCAGCUGGAAAACUGUAGCCUACACUGUUGGACAUUGGCACCAAAGUCUCGCAUGCAUGGGUUGCUGCAUGCGUUCUGCUUUGUUGCAGGUGUUGCGCACAACCAUUGUACUAUUCUUCUUCUGUUAAAAGUAAUUCUCAGCAGCGCUUAGUCCGCUAAAAAAACCUACGAGAAAGACAUACUCACUUUUCCUCUUGUGUGUUUGUUAUUGCUACGAUAAUAUAGGACAGUAAACCCUCGCAAGUCAACAUGGUCGGUGUGAAACUAAGUAUCAAGGAAGGCAGACCACGCAUUCCUACGAGAGGUUUCCGUGCCAAAAAAUCCAGCAUCUAAGAGGCUUUUUUGUUAUUUCUAAAUUAUAUGGCGUUAAGUGCGAAGUGUUUUUCCAAUGAUGUUUGCGUGCACUCCGUGCAUGAAUUUAACAGACUACUAAUGAAACCUUGUUGUGGCAAAGUUGGUCGAAGUAGUUUUGUGCGACCUGUUCGUAACACUGUAAACCAUAGAGUUUCUCACUAUAACACCUAGAGGGUAAACUGGCGCCACCGUCUAUGCGAGUUUCUUAAAGGGCUGCCGUGCCCUCAUGGAAAUGACGGGAUGUGUGUCUGCGAGGCUUGUGUUGGCUGGUGUUGUACGAGGCUUUGUCUAAGACGUGGAUAUGGCUACACAAAUAACGCGUUCUUAAAAUAAAAUCUACAUAAAAGGCUUUCAUUCACCCAUAUUGCAUCUCUCAAUAAAGUUUACUCACCUACAAUGCAGCUUCAAGCGAAGAAAAGCAAGAACAGACGACAAGUUGUUCCAAAGCGAGCGAGAAUCUUGUCAUCUGCCCUCCAACUUUAGCGGCCAGCUGAUACGUUUUACGUUUUAUAGAAUUGUGCAUCCAAUAGUAUGUCCUCGAAAUUAAACAAAACAUGUUUUUGUGUAAUAAUAAAGCUAAAGCAGUUUUUUACGUGCUGUUUUAGCAGGAAAUGAAUCAUUGUGACAGACGGAACGGUGCUAGCCAGGCGCGUCUUCAAGUCGUUCGGGCUCUCCAAGAACGAUGCCAAUCCGAAUCCACAAUAUACCAGCAUUCCCUGGCAUACCACAGCGCAGCAGCGCCACAUUUCCCUCUAGGUUUUAUAGUGUGAAACUCUAUGCUGUAAACUAAUUGAGUUGAAAUUAACUUACUGGCACACUUUUGUCAGCACAGGUGGUACCAAAGAAUAAAAAUAUUUGCUCUAGCAGCUUGCCCUUUGACUGCCUUUUACAAGAAGCGUUAUCUCUUUAGCACAAUAUAAGAGACCCUGGAAAUGCAGUUUAACGCACGAGUCUGCGAGCUUGAGCUCUUCUGAACCUCUUCUGUGGGAGCAUAGAUUUAUUUUAGGUGGAGAGUUGUGUCUUGCAGAAAACUUCCUUUACAAAUCUUCAUUUUUCAAGUUAUGUUGCUAUAAACUUGUUGACAAAUGUAAUUUUAUAUGCUUAUUUCAAAUGUGGGGUCCAUUUUUUUAUCUCAUUUGUUCAUAAUUUUAUUGAAGUUUCAUUUACUUAAUAUAAAUUUGCAAAAGAUCAGUUAUUCAGAUUGGCUCGACAGGAUAUAAAUGGCUUCGGCACGAUUCAAGAAAUACAAUGAGACCAACCUUAUUGCUUUGUCUAACCUAGAACAAGAGUUUCAAGACUUUCAAAGUUGACACUCGGAAGUCUGUUCAUUUUGGAAGUCUCCUUCAAAGCCUCACAACUCUUGCUGUCUUGCUUAAAAUUAAUAGCGAAAGAAACUUUCAUAAAAUUGGAACUGACUUAGGUAAACAGAAAUGGAGCUCCUACUUGAAAUAAGCAUAUAAAGUUACAUAUAUCUACAAGAUUUUGGCACCAUAACUUGAGAAAUAAGCAUUUUUAGAAGUUUUUGGCCUAAGACCCAAUUCCCCCUUUAAAUGUCUUUCCACUCUGUGCCACUGCAUAAAUGGCUUACAUGCGAGUUCUGCUGCAGUUAAAUAAUUGCUUCGAAGAUAAAAGGUGCAGGUAUUUUAAGGGGAAAAAAUUAUGCUGAUCCAACGCACAUCUUGGAAUCUGUGUGAAGCGAUUAAUCAAAUGCUGUAGAUGUUACCACUUCAUUCCUGCAUCUUUGACACUGCUGCUUGCAAAUGUGUUCUCAAGCACCAUGCUAGGCAGUGUGACACACAUGGAAAUCAUCUCAAGGAGUUAGUUGGCGCUGGCACGAUGGAAGUAGGCGUGCAAUUUUGGCCUAAUGGUUGGAGCAUCGGGAGCUGUGCUGGGUGACCAAGCUUUGAUCCCACCAUCGGGCACGUAAUUCAAUUUCCUUUUUUUUUAAGUGUGAGCUAUUCGACAACACAACAACAGCACCCAGCGGUAGCUGCAGUCAGGAAAGUCAAAGGAGGUUUUCGCAAAGAAAGCUGCACUUUAAAAUUGGGCUGUGUACAAUGCACAACAACAGCAUGUGUAGUGCCUAAUGCUUGUAAACAAAAGAUGAUGACUUAUCACUGGAGCUCUAAGAAUGCUACCUUUAAGGAUUUUAAGGAUGACGCUUUGUUUGGUAAGUUGCGGCGAUUGCCGCUUUCAGUUUCUUUGGUGUGUCACCCUGUAAAGCUUUUUAAUGUUAGCCAUCGAGCAUCAUACUCGCAUGCUUUCCAGUCUGUUUGUAAUUUGCGUGGAUGAGGCAGUUAUUCACGGCCCUGAACUCUAGACACUGGCAGAUGCUGUCUCACCUAUUUACACUAAGUAAACGAUCACAGCCCACGCGCUGACAUGCGGGACAAGUGCUAACUUCAGCAACUGCCUCAGCAUACACAUCCUGUAGGACUUGGUUAACUGGGCUGCGACUUUCUGCAUUGCAUGCAAUUUACUCACUGCGAGCCAUUUGAAAUAUUGCUUAUAAUGGGUGACUUUCAGCCAAUCACUGUAUAGCCUCGCUUGGCUCCAUAAUUUUCAGAGAAUAGUAUUUUGCGGAUUCCUUGUAUGUGUCCCCAUGAAGGUCUUCUUCGGGAACUAAGUUUUUUCUUGCGCAGAAGGUAAUGGCAUGUUUAACCCAUGACGCGAGAAAGCAACUCAUUCAAUUAAGAAGUUCAAGGUGACCCAUGAAAAAGAUGAGCUCUCUGUAUAAGAAAUAUGCAUUCGUAGAAUUUCCAGUUGCGCUAUUUAGUGCAUGUUUUACACUAAGUUUAUCAUAAAUUAAACAUACCUUUAGCAGUAAAUCUCAUAUAAAAUAUGUGUCAACCAGCACAAAUUCCAAGUCCUAGUGUAUUAAUCACUCAAGUUGAACAGACAGACACUACUUGCACAAUAAAGCUUGAUAUUCAUUUAGAUAAUCAAACAAAGUACCACUAAUUAACUUAUAGCAUAUACAGUAUAG